GUUACAGUGACUUCAGUCCCUUUCCCCCAGUAGUCAAAAUAGCCGUCUCUAGCACAGUAAUACACUGCAGAGUCCUCUGGCUUCAACUGGUUCAUGUGUAGAUAGAAAUU